UCUUCUCUCCACUCACUCCUCCACCUUAUCUACUCCCUCACACUCUUCUCCUACUCUCCCCCACGAAAAUGCUGCUGCCCCUUGCUCCCAUGGCCGGCCAUGGCCAUGGAAGGCACUCCAAGAUGAAGCUCCCCCCUCCCUCAAGCUCCCCCUCACCAUGAGAGCCUCCCUCUCCUUCUUCUCCCCAACCCUAGAUGGUUUUCUCUCCUCUUCCUCUUCCUCCAUUGCUAAGAUUGGAUCUUGAUGCAGGUGCAUGUUGGUCCAAGCAUGGAGAAGCUUGAGCUAUCCUCAGAUCUGAAGUUUUUGAGCAAAAUCCAAAUCGAGUGAUUCAAAGUUCCGCAGAUAGAUACGAAAAAUAUCUACAACUUGGCGUUGGUCUCAUCCUCAAAUUCGUUACGGAUUGUCCGUGGUGAAAGCCCUCUUCAAUACCUUCAUUUUGGUGGUGGUUUCACUUCGAUUGACCUCCUGAAACUGAAAUGGUUCACAGGUCAAGAUCUGGUCAGAUCUGACUUUGUCGAAUUAAACCAGGAGCUUGGGAACGAAUCUUUGAGUGAAACAAAUUCUCUAUUCAAUACCUUUCAGAUGCAGCUGACCUCAUAUUUUUGUGAUUGAUGUACGAUUUGUGGUGAAUUAAACUUGUUCUGUGUGUUCUGCAGACAUGGCUGUUAGCUUUUAAAUCACCAAAAAUCCAUAUUUGAACCAAAUUGAGUGAUUCUAGUUCUGUAGGACUACUGAAUGUUUUCUUAAUCUUCUCAAACAAGUUUCAAACCCUUACCUAUUCUGUAACUCCAGAGGUAAAGCAAAUGGUAUAGACAUGCAGUAAUCUUGUCAAUCCAUUUGUGAGAGUUUCAGAAACAAUUUGAACCCAAAUCCAAUUGUGUGUGCACCUCUGUUUAGAUAUCUUUCAAAUGCCAGUGGUCUCAUAUUUUUAGGAUUUUUCUACGAUUUAUGGC